rnacentral:rRNA from 1 species
AGCACGUAGGUGGGUUUGUAAGUCAGACGUGAAAGCCUUCUGUUCAACGGGAGAACUGCAUCUGAAACUGUGAAUCUUGAGUGUAGGAGGGGAGAAUGGAACUUCUGGUGGAGCGGUGAAAUGCGUAGAUAUCAGAAGGAACGCCGGCGGCGAAAGCGAUUCUCUGGCCUAUUACUGACACUCAGUGUGCGAAAGCUAGGGGAGCAAACGGGAUUAGAUAUUCCGGUAGUCCUAGCCGUAAACGAUGGGCACUAAGUAGAGGGG